GUGUGUUUGUUCAUUCUGCAUUGGCUAGAGGUAUAGGUGAGGAUUGAGAUCUCAGGAACAUGUUUAACCCUGCUCCAUUUUUACGACUAUACCAAGUGGUGAGCCUCUUGCCUUUUUUAGUCAUGUAUGUUUUUUUUUAAUUUGAGUACAUCUAUAUGUUUUGGAUUUGGUGUGACAUCCUAUUUCAUUGAACUAGUACUCAUUUUUUCAUGGGGCAGCUAAAGCCCGAUUCUGGGUAUCGCUGUGUUGAAGACCAAUUGUGUUUUGUGUUCUCUAGUCUGGUUGUUGUCUCUUUGACACAUUUCC
rnacentral:lncRNA from 1 species